rnacentral:lncRNA from 1 species
GCGCAGACGGCGGAGAGCAGAGAGGGAGCGCGCCUUGGCUCGCUGGCCUUGGCGGCGGCUCCUCAGGAGAGCUGGGGCGCCCACGAGAGGAUCCCUCACCCGGGUCUCUCCUCAGGGAUGACAUCAUCCGUCCACCUCCUUGUCUUCAAGGACCACCUCCUCUCCAUGCUGAGCUGCUGCCAAGGGGCCUGCUGCCCAUCUACACCUCACGAGGGCACUAGGAGCACGGUUUCCUGGAUCCCACCAACAUACAAAGCAGCCACUCACUGACCCCCAGGACCAGGAUGGCAAAGGAUGAAGAGGACCGGAACUGACCAGCCAGCUGUCCCUCUUACCUAAAGACUUAAACCAAUGCCCUACACUCCAGGCAGCCCUUGUCCACGGGCUCUCCUUGCAUCAGCCAAGCUUCUUGAAAGGCCUGUCUACACUUGCUGUCUUCCUUCCUCACCUCCAAUUUCCUCUUCAACCCACUGCUUCCUGACUCGCUCUACUCCGUGGAAGCACGCUCACAAAGGCACGUGGGCCGUGGCCCGGCUGGGUCGGCUGAAGAACUGCGGAUGGAAGCUGCGGAAGAGGCCCUGAUGGGGCCCACCAUCCCGGACCCAAGUCUUCUUCCUGGCGGGCCUCUCGUCUCCUUCCUGGUUUGGGCGGAAGCCAUCACCUGGAUGCCUACGUGGGAAGGGACCUCGAAUGUGGGACCCCAGCCCCUCUCCAGCUCGAAAUCCCUCCACAGCCACGGGGACACCCUGCACCUAUUCCCACGGGACAGGCUGGACCCAGAGACUCUGGACCCGGGGCCUCCCCUUGAGUAGAGACCCGCCCUCUGACUGAUGGACGCCGCUGACCUGGGGUCAGACCCGUGGGCUGGACCCCUGCCCACCCCGCAGGAACCCUGAGGCCUAGGGGAGCUGUUGAGCCUUCAGUGUCUGCAUGUGGGAAGUGGGCUCCUUCACCUACCUCACAGGGCUGUUGUGAGGGGCGCUGUGAUGCGGUUCCAAAGCACAGGGCUUGGCGCACCCCACUGUGCUCUCAAUAAAUGUGUUUCC